UCGAGCGGUAGAGAGAAGCUUGCUUCUCUUGAGAGCGGCGGACGGGUGAGUAAUACCUAGGAAUCUGCCUGAUAGUGGGGGAUAACGUUCGGAAACGGACGCUAAUACCGCAUACGUCCUACGGGAGAAAGCAGGGGACCUUCGGGCCUUGCGCUAUCAGAUGAGCCUAGGUCGGAUUAGCUAGUUGGUGAGGUAAUGGCUCACCAAGGCUACGAUCCGUAACUGGUCUGAGAGGAUGAUCAGUCACACUGGAACUGAGACACGGUCCAGACUCCUACGGGAGGCAGCAGUGGGGAAUAUUGGACAAUGGGCGAAAGCCUGAUCCAGCCAUGCCGCGUGUGUGAAGAAGGUCUUCGGAUUGUAAAGCACUUUAAGUUGGGAGGAAGGACAGUAAAUUAAUACUUUGCUGUUUUGACGUUACCGACAGAAUAAGCACCGGCUAACUCUGUGCCAGCAGCCGCGGUAAUACAGAGGGUGCAAGCGUUAAUCGGAAUUACUGGGCGUAAAGCGCGCGUAGGUGGUUUGUUAAGUUGAAUGUGAAAUCCCCGGGCUCAACCUGGGAACUGCAUCCAAAACUGGCAAGCUAGAGUAUGGUAGAGGGUAGUGGAAUUUCCUGUGUAGCGGUGAAAUGCGUAGAUAUAGGAAGGAACACCAGUGGCGAAGGCGACUACCUGGACUGAUACUGACACUGAGGUGCGAAAGCGUGGGGAGCAAACAGGAUUAGAUAC
rnacentral:rRNA from 1 species